rnacentral:rRNA from 1 species
AACGAACGCUGGCGGCAGGCUUAACACAUGCAAGUCGAACGCACCUUUCGGGGUGAGUGGCAGACGGGUGAGUAACGCGUGGGAAUCUACCCUUCUCUACGGGAUGGCUCCGGGAAACUGGAAUUAAUACCGUAUACGUCCUGAGGGAGAAAGAUUUAUCGGGGAAGGAUGAGCCCGCGUUGGAUUAGCUAGUUGGUGGGGUAAAGGCCUACCAAGGCGACGAUCCAUAGCUGGUCUAAGAGGAUGAUCAGCCACAUUGGGACUGAGACACGGCCCAAACUCCUACGGGAGGCAGCAGUGGGGAAUAUUGGACAAUGGGCGCAAGCCUGAUCCAGCCAUGCCGCGUGAGUGAUGAAGGCCCUAGGGUUGUAAAGCUCUUUCAGUGGGGACGAUAAUGACGGUACCCACAGAAGAAGCCCCGGCUAACUUCGUG